rnacentral:lncRNA from 7 species
UGAGGUAAGACUGAUAGGUCUGUAGCUACCAUGCUCAUCUUCUGGCUGUUUCUGAAGAUGUGUGUCAUAUUUGCCAGUCUCCAGUCCACCUGCGUGUUUCCAUUUAGCCAGGACUGCUGAAGGACGAUGGAGUGUGGCUUGGCAACCACAUCCACCAACUCCCUCAGCACUCCAAAGUGCAGUCCAUCUGGCCCCGUGAACUCGAGCAUCCAGCAUUCGGUGCAGGUCCAAAAUCAUCUCAUUGUGGAUAAUGCAGGGCCUAUUCAGUUCCCCAUCCUUAUCUACCAGCACAGGGGAUUUUUUCCCAGGGAGUAACAAGUCUUGCUAUUAGCGACUGAGGCAACAAAGGCAUUAAGUUCCUCAGCCUUAUCCUGAUCCUUGGUCACCAAGUUGCCCUCGGCGUCCAACAAGGGAUGGAGAUUCUCCCUUGCCCUCCUCUUGCUGUUGAUGUAUUUAUAGAAAUAUUCUUUGUUGUCCUUCACCUUACUGUCCGAGCUCAGUUCUAGCUGGGCUUUGGCUUUUCUAAUUUUCUUCCUGCACAGCUUUGCUACGUACCUGUAAUCAUCAUAAGUAGCUUGACUACUCUUCCACAAACCAUAAUCUUUCAUUCUGCUCUUGAGUUCCAGUCGAAGGUCUCUGUUCAGCCAGUCCAGGAGUGCGUGGGCAGACAAAGAAGCGUUGUGCAGGCAGGGAAAAAUGAGUGCUGUGGGUCCUGGGAGCAGCAAUGCGUGAGGCUCCUCCUGCUAGUGCUCUUCCGCUGGAACGUCCCUUUGGUUUUCUACUUGGGAGAAUAUUUGAACCCGUUGAAAAAGGUCUGACUUGAAGCGAGGGUGCAGAGCAGAUUUAACCUCUGCAGGCGUGUAUGCCAGAGCAUGAAGCAUCGUCAACAAGCACGGGGUAGCACCAGCUUGAAACAGGGGAAGCUUCCACAGAGCCCCCAGAUGGAGUCCCAGGGUGAUGAGAUGAAGCUGAUUUUGGCAGCAUUAAAGGUGGUUUUCCAGGAUCUGUGCCUUCUAGGGCUGGGGGCUGUCACUGGGGUUGCUUUCACAGGACACCCCCCAGCCCACCUCAGGACCCACGGGGAGUCUGUCGGUGACAGGGAACACAGUGCCCAGGGCAGAGCCAAGCGGCGCUGGGGGGGGGUCAGCCCCAAGGAGAAAGCCUCCCCCAUGGAAGAAAUGGAUUGCUUAAUGCCGUGGGUGAGAUGUUGUAGAAGAGCAAAUUAAUGAGGUUAAAAGGUGCCGCCCGGGUACUGUGGGAACCUCCUCCCACCCUGCAAGUGCUGUCCAAAGCUCUCCAGUGCCCCCUGCUGCUCUUUGCAGUUCCCCACUAAGCUCCCGUUGUCUCCCAGUAUUGUCCAGAGUUUCCUUGUGCAAACUCAGUGCCCCCCAGUGCUGCCUGGAGCCACCCCAGUGCUGUAUGCGGCCCUCAGUAGCCUCCCAGUGCCCCCCAGUGGACUUCCCAGUGCCUCCAGUAGUGCCCAGUGCCCCCAGUUCAACACAUGCACUGCUCAGCACGUGACCGUCGCCUUCCCCAGGAACAAAACAAGGCAACAGAGACGUUGACAGCAGCGAUGGUGAUGGAGAUGUUCAGACUGGAGGAGCUCUUGGCUCGCUGCAGCCACCCCAGCAUCCCCAGAGGUGGGCACGGGGACCUGGGGGGGCUUUGGUGCUGCACAAACGACUGCAGGCAGAGGUGUAGGAAAGUGAACGCCAAGCAUUUAAUAAUUGAACGUACAAAACAGCAAAUAAAUGACGAUAGAUAUUCCCAACCAUUUCCCACCCUGACAAUUAUUUCUGAUCCCACCCCCUAAAAUUCCCACCCUCUAAUUAAUUUCCCACCCCCCAGCUCCCACCCCGCAAUCAAUUUCUCACCUUCCCCCCCGCCCCCCCCGCCCCCGGCUCCCUCCCACCAAUAGUUCCCUCUCUCUGCAAAACACUUCCCAGCCCCCAGAUUCCCACCCCAAUAAUUCCUUCCUCCAAAUUCCAACAAUUUCGGAGUGCAACAUGAUCAGAGUACAAUUUCCCACCCAGAAUUGCCACCCCACAAAAUUCCCUCCCCCUCCCCACAUCUCCAAUGCCAGCAGUCACGAAGUCCAAUCCUUUUUGAUGCCAACCAUCUCCCACAGCAGCCAUUUCUCACCCCAGCAGUUCCCCACCCCCCAAAUUCCCACCCCAACAAUAUCACAGUAGAGCCAUUUCAUUUCCAACCUCAAAAAGAUGCCAGCGCCCCAAGAAUUCCCACCCCAAAUUCCCUCCCCCCACCCAUUCCCCACCCCAGAUUCCCA